GCGAAAGUGACGGUACCUGCAGAAAAGCACCGGCUAACUACGUGCCAGCAGCCGCGGUAAUACGUAGGGUGCAAGCGUUGUCCGGAAUUAUUGGGCGUAAAGAGCUCGUAGGCGGUUUGUCGCGUCUGCUGUGAAAUCCCGAGGCUCAACCUCGGGUCUGCAGUGGGUACGGGCAGACUAGAGUGCGGUAGGGGAGAUUGGAAUUCCUGGUGUAGCGGUGGAAUGCGCAGAUAUCAGGAGGAACACCGAUGGCGAAGGCAGAUCUCUGGGCCGCUACUGACGCUGAGGAGCGAAAGGGUGGGGAGCAAACAGGCUUAGAUACCCUGGUAGUCCACCCCGUAAACGUUGGGCGCUAGAUGUGGGGACCAUUCCACGGUUUCCGUGUCGUAGCUAACGCAUUAAGCGCCCCGCCUGGGGAGUACGGCCGCAAGGCUAAAACUCAAAGGAAUUGACGGGGGCCCGCACAAGCGGCGGAGCAUGCGGAUUAAUUCGAUGCAACGCGAAGAACCUUACCAAGGCUUGACAUAUACGAGAACGGGCCAGAAAUGGUCAACUCUUUGGACACUCGUAAACAGGUGGUGCAUGGUUGUCGUCAGCUCGUGUCGUGAGAUGUUGGGUUAAGUCCCGCAACGAGCGCAACCCUCGUUCUAUGUUGCCAGCACGUUAUGGUGGGAACUCAUGGGAUACUGCCGGGGUCAACUCGGAGGAAGGUGGGGACGACGUCAAAUCAUCAUGCCCCUUAUGUCUUGGGCUUCACGCAUGCUACAAUGGCCAGUACAAAGGGCUGCAAUACCGUAAGGUGGAGCGAAUCCCAAAAAGCUGGUCCCAGUUCGGAUUGAGGUCUGCAACUCGACCUCAUGAAGUCGGAGUCGCUAGUAAUCGCAGAUCAGCAACGCUGCGGUGAAUACGUUCCCGGGCCUUGUACACACCGCCCGUCAAGUCAUGAAAGUCGGUAACACCCGAAGCCAGUGGCCUAACCGCAAGGAUGUAGUAU
rnacentral:rRNA from 1 species